rnacentral:rRNA from 1 species
AUUGAACGCUGGCGGCAUGCCUUACACAUGCAAGUCGAACGGUAACAGGUCUUCGGAUGCUGACGAGUGGCGAACGGGUGAGUAAUACAUCGGAACGUGCCUAGGAGUGGGGGAUAACUACUCGAAAGAGUGGCUAAUACCGCAUGCGAUAUACGGAUGAAAGCAGGGGAUCGCAAGACCUUGUGCUACUAGAGCGGCCGAUGGCAGAUUAGGUAGUUGGUGGGAUAAAAGCUUACCAAGCCGACGAUCUGUAGCUGGUCUGAGAGGACGAUCAGCCACACUGGGACUGAGACACGGCCCAGACUCCUACGGGAGGCAGCAGUGGGGAAUUUUGGACAAUGGGCGAAAGCCUGAUCCAGCAAUGCCGCGUGCAGGAUGAAGGCCUUCGGGUUGUAAACUGCUUUUGUACGGAACGAAAAGCCCCGGGUUAAUACCCUGGGGUCAUGACGGUACCGUAAGAAUAAGCACCGGCUAACUACGUGCCAGCCGCCGCGGUAA